GUGCCUUUUGUAGAAUGAACCGGCGAGUUACGAUUGCAUGCAAGGUUAAGGUGAGAAGCCGGAGCCGCAGCGAAAGCGAGUCUGAACAGGGCGAAUGAGUAUGCAGUUGUAGACCCGAAACCAGGUGAUCUACCCAUGUCCAGGGUGAAGGUAAGGUAACACUUACUGGAGGCCCGAACCCACGCACGUUGAAAAGUGCUUGGAUGACUUGUGGGUAGCGGAGAAAUUCCAAACGAACUUGGAGAUAGCUGGUUCUCUCCGAAAUAGCUUUAGGGCUAGCGUCGAUGUUAAGUCUCUUGGAGGUAGAGCACUGUUUGGGUGAGGGGUCCAUCCCGGAUUACCAAUCUCAGAUAAACUCCGAAUGCCAACGAGAUAUAAUCGGCAGUCAGACUGCGAGUGCUAAGAUCCGUAGUCGAAAGGGAAACAGCCCAGACCACCAGCUAAGGUCCCCAAAUGACUGCUA
rnacentral:rRNA from 1 species